GACGUAGGGCGCGAGCGUUGUCCGGAUUUAUUGGGCGUAAAGAGCUCGUAGGCGGUUUGUCGCGUCGGGAGUGAAAACCUUGGGCUUAACUCAGGGCUUGCUUUCGAUACGGGCAGACUAGAGGUAUGCAGGGGAGAACGGAAUUCCUGGUGUAGCGGUGAAAUGCGUAGAUAUCUGGAGGAACACCGGUGGCGAAGGCGACAUCCUGGACCGGUAUUGACGCUGAGGCGCGAAAGCCAGGGGAGCAAAGCGGG
rnacentral:rRNA from 1 species